AUUGAUAGUACCCUACACUCUAUCCUCCCUUGAACUACUANAAUNNNUUAAAACCCAAAGGACUUAGCGGNNCUUUAAACCCAUCUAGAGGAGCCUGUUCUAGAAUCUAUAAUCCCCGUUUCAACCUCACCCCCCCUUGUUUUUCCCGCCUAUAUACCGCCGUCGUCAGCUUACCCUGUGAAGGUAAGAUAGUAAGCAAGUUGAUAUAAUCUAAAACGUCAGGUCAAGGUGUAGCAUACNNNNGGAAAGAAAUGGGCUACAUUUCCUCCCU
rnacentral:rRNA from 1 species